rnacentral:rRNA from 1 species
UUGGUCAAUGGCCGAAAGGCUGAACCAGUAACUUGGAAGAAUGAUAAUGUUAACUUUGUAUCGGUGCAUUCGCGAUUAACUCGCAUAAAAUUCUAAAUAGAUUAGAUAUAAUGACAUAAUCUAUUUAUAAGUCUUGACCAAACUACGUGCCAGCAGUCGCGGUAAUACGUAGGAGGCUAGUGUUAGUUAUCUUUAUUGGGUUUAAAGGGUAAGUAGACGGUAAAUUAAACUCUAAACGAGUACUUUUUUACUAGAGUUAUAUGAGAGAAGGAAGAAUUUCUGGAGUAGAGAUAAAAUUUGAUGAUACCAGGAGGACUGUCAACGGCGAAGGCGUCCUUCUAUGUAAUAACUGACGUUGAGAGACGAAGGCUUGGGUAGCAAACAGGAUUAGAUACCCUAGUAGUCCAAGCAGACAAUGAUGAAUGUCAUACAUUAGAUAAAUAUAUUUAAUGUAUAAACGAAAGUGUAAGCAUUCCACCUCAAGAGUACUAUGGCAACAUAUAAACUGAAAUCAUUAGACCGUUUCUAAAACCAGUAGUGAAGUAU